rnacentral:rRNA from 1 species
GACGAACGCUGGCGGCGUGCUUAACACAUGCCAGUCGAACGGAAAGGCCCUGCUUUUGUGGGGUGCUCGAGUGGCGAACGGGUGAGUAACACGUGAGUAACCUGCCCUUGACUUUGGGAUAACUUCAGGAAACUGGGGCUAAUACCGGAUAGGAGCUCCUGCUGCAUGGUGGGGGUUGGAAAGUUUCGGCGGUUGGGGAUGGACUCGCGGCUUAUCAGCUUGUUGGUGGGGUAGUGGCUUACCAAGGCUUUGACGGGUAGCCGGCCUGAGAGGGUGACCGGCCACAUUGGGACUGAGAUACGGACCAGACUCCUACGGGAGGCAGCAGUGGGGAAUAUUGCACAAUGGGCGGAAGCCUGAUGCAGCAACGCCGCGUGCGGGAUGCCGGCCUUCGGGUUGUAAACCGCUUUCGCCUGUGACGAAGCGUGAGUGACGGUAAUGGGUAAAGAAGCACCGGCUAACUACGUG